rnacentral:rRNA from 1 species
AACGAACGCUGGCGGCAGGCCUAACACAUGCAAGUCGAGCGCCCCGCAAGGGGAGCGGCGGACGGGUGAGUAACACGUGGGAAUUUUCCUCAAGGUACGGAACAACUCAGGGAAACUUGGGCUAAUACCGUAUGAUGCAGAGAUGCCAAAGAUUUAUCGCCCUGGGAUAAGCCCGCGUCAGAUUAGGUAGUUGGUGAGGUAACGGCUCACCAAGCCUGUGAUCUGUAGCUGGUCUGAGAGGACGAUCAGCCACAUUGGGACUGAGACACAGCCCAAACUCCUACGGGAGGCAGCAGUGGGGAAUCUUGCGCAAUGGGCGAAAGCCUGACGCAGCCAUGCCGCGUGAAUGAUGAAGGUCUUAGGAUUGUAAAGUUCUUUCGCCCGUGACGAUGAUGACGGUAACGGGAGAAGAAGCCCCGGCUAACUUCGUGCCAGCCGCCGCUGUAAUAC